UACGUAGGUGGCAAGCGUUGUCCGGAUUUAUUGGGUUUAAAGGGUGCGUAGGCGGCUUUGUAAGUCAGUGGUGAAAUAUGGCAGCUCAACUGUCAAGGUGCCAUUGAUACUGCGGAGCUUGAGUACAGAUGAGGUAGGCGGAAUUGACGGUGUAGCGGUGAAAUGCUUAGAUAUCGUCAAGAACACCUAUAGCGAAGGCAGCUUACUAGGCUGUAACUGGCGCUGAGGCACGAAAGUGUGGGGAUCAAACAGG
rnacentral:rRNA from 1 species